UUAACUCUUCCCCAGUUCAACGUUUUCUCUAUCUCAUCUUCCAAUUUCUCAAGAUUUCGCCUCAGUUUCUCCAGUUCUUCAUUCUUCUCGUUUCUUCCCCAAUUUCUCAUUUUACAUUUUUCGUUUUUUAACUUCUCAUUUAGGGUUUUUUGAUCUGUCAUUCUCAAAGCUCGAAUCUAAGAUGGAUGAUCGUGAUGUUGAUGGACAUGAAAAUCGGUGCUGAAACGGGACUCGUUGUUUGUAGAACUCGGGCUUUCAAUGAUGGUCACUCUGAUGAACAAGUUUUUCAAUAUUGUUAUUUGACAGAACUACCACGUCGGACCGCCACUGCCUGCAUCAGUAUUUUUUUCCCAAGGUAUGUGUUGGAAGAGCAUGACUUGGGGGUUAACUGGGCUUCUUUACAUCUGACACUGCCUCUUAUCUUUUCUGCUGAUGAUAGACAGGUUAAGAUUUGGAAGAUGAACUGUAAAUAUCAAAACAUUCUUCAGUUAUCGAAUAAUUGGGAUAUGUCAUUGUUUAUAUCUAAUAGAUGACUUUACAUUUCUUGUUUUAGAUGUUAAUAUAUAAUGUUUAUUGCAUUUCAUUUAGUGUUGAUGUGAUUUUGAUCAUAAUAUUAUCUUAGCGUUGAUUGGAGUUGUUGCGGUGUAAACUAACCAUAAUUUGUUUUUUAUCAUAAAAACAGUGAAUAACGGUAUCGGUAUCGGCACCUUCGGAUACCGUUUUGUCAUGGUCAUUUUUGCGGUAACGGUACAUUUUUUAAAACUUUGUCUAAUUCAAGUGGUUGUUGUGCACUGUUGUAAAAUCGAGGGUAUCGAUUUUAAUUCAUGCUCAUAAUAAAAGAACUGAAGUGUAAGUUGUUUUGUUUAGCAUUAUUUUUGAAGAAUGGAAAUCAUGCUAAUUGAGGAUUGGUAUGGCGACAGGCUUUGGAUUAUGUCAUAGAAGAAGCAAGGCAAAAUGGAGUCAGGUUGCUUCUUAGCUUAGUAAAUAAUCUGCAACCAUAUGGUGGGAAGAGUCUGUAUGUCAAAUGGGUGUGGCAAGAAGGAGUAAGAUUAAGCGCAUCCAAUGCAGUUGAGUAAAAAAACUAUUCUGAAGUUUUUGCCUAAGAGUGGAGUCAAUAAUCCUCUUUAUCGUAAGUAGAAGGGUUUUCGAAUGUACCUUAUUGCCACUGUGAUAAAAGGUGUCUUCUAUGCCGAACCAACACCCAGUUGAAUCCAAGAAGACAUUCUGUAUUCAUUGAUUCAGUAAGCAUGAUGACCAUGGAAAUUGCAAGUACUUUAUUUGGAAAGAUGUUUGGGAUGAAAUUGUUGCAGCUCAAACAGAGACAUCGAAAGGAGAAUUUAAUUGGAAUGGAGGUUGGAAGAUAUAAUGCAAUGGAUGAUAUAUGGAAAGCAAAACUGAAUUAUAAGUUUAACAGUUUGGUGUUGAAAUGAAGUUCAUGAAACAUUUUUAUCUACAUCAUUUAUGAUGCAAAUGUUGCUUAUGGCAGUGUGUCGGUACUUUAUGCAAUGUAUAUUAUAAUAUUUGAAGUUAAUGAGCAGUUAUGGUUAAUGGUGUGUGACAAACAAUUGAAUUGAAUUGAAAUUGUGUUAAUGUUGUGGUUGACAGUAUCAUGAAAAGCACCUUACUAAAGUGUUUGACAGCAACAAAUAUGACA